GUAAGAAGAGGAAAAAGACCAUUGGGUGAUGAUGCCUGCGCCUGCACCACCUUCCCUCACGGAGAUAGGCUUGUCACCUCCUCAUCCUCAGCUUGGGAUUUCUUCUUCUUCUCUUGUUUAGGACCCAGGAAUAGCCAGCUCUGAAAGGCAACAUGGCUGAUGAAGCCUAUCCAAAUGGGAGCACGGGAGGCAUCGCUUCAGAUGAACUAAUAAGGAAGAGGGGCUGAGCAGGAAUCCAAUGCGCCCACUCGUUUAUUUGGAUCAUG
rnacentral:lncRNA from 1 species